UACGAAGGGGGCUAGCGUUGCUCGGAAUCACUGGGCGUAAAGCGCACGUAGGCGGAUCGUUAAGUCGGGGGUGAAAUCCUGGAGCUCAACUCCAGAACUGCCUUCGAUACUGGCGAUCUUGAGUCCGGAAGAGGUGAGUGGAACUCCUAGUGUAGAGGUGGAAUUCGUAGAUAUUAGGAAGAACACCAGUGGCGAAGGCGGCGCACUGGUCCGGUACUGACGCUGAGGUGCGAAAGCGUGGGGAGCAAACAGG
rnacentral:rRNA from 1 species